rnacentral:tRNA from 1 species
GUCAGCAUAGUGCAGUGGCUUGAGCAUUGGACUAUGACUCUGGAGACCAAGGUUCAAAUCCUGGCUCAGCCA